CAGCGGAUGACGAUUGACGGAGCGAAGCGACGUCAAAGCGUAUACAAAGUCGAGUCGGUUUAAGGAUACGUUCGUUGGGUAGGGGAGCGUUCUGUAAGCCGUUGAAGGUGGCCUGUGAGGGUUGCUGGAGGUAUCAGAAGUGCGAAUGCUGACAUAAGUAACGAUAAAGCGGGUGAAAAGCCCGCUCGCCGGAAGACCAAGGGUUCCUGUCCAACGUUAAUCGGGGCAGGGUGAGUCGACCCCUAAGGCGAGGCCGAAAGGCGUAGUCGAUGGGAAACGGGUUAAUAUUCCCGUACUUGGUGUUACUGCGAAGGGGGGACGGAGAAGGCUAUGUUGGCCGGGCGACGGUUGUCCCGGUUUAAGCGUGUAGGUGUGUGUUCCAGGUAAAUCCGGUUCACUUUAACACUGAGGCGUGAUGACGAGGCACUACGGUGCUGAAGCAACAAAUGCCCUGCUUCCAGGAAAAGCCUCUAAGCAUCAGGUAACAUCAAAUCGUACCCCAAACCGACACAGGUGGUCAGGUAGAGAAUACCAAGGCGCUUGAGAGAACUCGGGUGAAGGAACUAGGCAAAAUGGUGCCGUAACUUCGGGAGAAGGCACGCUGACAUGUAGGUGAAGUGAUUUACUCAUGGAGCUGAAGUCAGUCGAAGAUACCAGCUGGCUGCAACUGUUUAUUAAAAACACAGCACUGUGCAAACACGAAAGUGGACGUAUACGGUGUGACGCCUGCCCGGUGCCGGAAGGUUAAUUGAUGGGGUCAGCGCAAGCGAAGCUCCUGAUCGAAGCCCCGGUAAACGGCGGCCGUAACUAUAACGGUCCUAAGGUAGCGAAAUUCCUUGUCGGGUAAGUUCCGACCUGCACGAAUGGCGUAAUGAUGGCCAGGCUGUCUCCACCCGAGACUCAGUGAAAUUGAACUCGCUGUGAAGAUGCAGUGUACCCGCGGCAAGACGGAAAGACCCCGUGAACCUUUACUAUAGCUUGACACUGAACAUUGAGCCUUGAUGUGUAGGAUAGGUGGGAGGCUUUGAAGUGUGGACGCCAGUCUGCAUGGAGCCGACCUUGAAAUACCACCCUUUAAUGUUUGAUGUUCUAACGUGGACCCGUAAUCCGGGUUGCGGACAGUGUCUGGUGGGUAGUUUGACUGGGGCGGUCUCCUCCUAAAGAGUAACGGAGGAGCACGAAGGUUGGCUAAUCCUGGUCGGACAUCAGGAGGUUAGUGCAAUGGCAUAAGCCAGCUUGACUGCGAGCGUGACGGCGCGAGCAGGUGCGAAAGCAGGUCAUAGUGAUCCGGUGGUUCUGAAUGGAAGGGCCAUCGCUCAACGGAUAAAAGGUACUCCGGGGAUAACAGGCUGAUACCGCCCAAGAGUUCAUAUCGACGGCGGUGUUUGGCACCUCGAUGUCGGCUCAUCACAUCCUGGGGCUGAAGUAGGUCCCAAGGGUAUGGCUGUUCGCCAUUUAAAGUGGUACGCGAGCUGGGUUUAGAACGUCGUGAGACAGUUCGGUCCCUAUCUGCCGUGGGCGCUGGAGAACUGAGGGGGGCUGCUCCUAGUACGAGAGGACCGGAGUGGACGCAUCACUGGUGUUCGGGUUGUCAUGCCAAUGGCACUGCCCGGUAGCUAAAUGCGGAAGAGAUAAGUGCUGAAAGCAUCUAAGCACGAAACUUGCCCCGAGAUGAGUUCUCCCUGAGACUUUAGGUCUCCUGAAGGAACGUUGAAGACGACGACGUUGAUAGGCCGGGUGUGUAAGCGCAGCGAUGCGUUGAGCUAACCGGUACUAAUGAACCGUGAGGCUUAACCUUACA
rnacentral:rRNA from 1 species